AGUGAACGCUGGCGGUAGGCCUAACACAUGCAAGUCGAACGGCAGCACAGUAAGAGCUUGCUCUUACGGGUGGCGAGUGGCGGACGGGUGAGGAAUACAUCGGAAUCUACUUUUUCGUGGGGGAUAACGUAGGGAAACUUACGCUAAUACCGCAUACGACCUACGGGUGAAAGCAGGGGAUCUUCGGACCUUGCGCGAUUGAAUGAGCCGAUGUCGGAUUAGCUAGUUGGCGGGGUAAAGGCCCACCAAGGCGACGAUCCGUAGCUGGUCUGAGAGGAUGAUCAGCCACACUGGAACUGAGACACGGUCCAGACUCCUACGGGAGGCAGCAGUGGGGAAUAUUGGACAAUGGGCGCAAGCCUGAUCCAGCCAUACCGCGUGGGUGAAGAAGGCCUUCGGGUUGUAAAGCCCUUCUGUUGGGAAAGAAGAGCAGCAGGUUAAUACCCCGAUGUUCUGACGGUACCCAAAGAAUAAGCACCGGCUAACUUCGUG
rnacentral:rRNA from 1 species